rnacentral:rRNA from 1 species
UACAGAGGUCUCAAGCGUUGUUCGGAUUCAUUGGGCGUAAAGGGUGUGUAGGAGGCUAGGUAAGUCAGGUGUGAAAUCUCAGAGCUUAACUCUGAAACUGCGCUUGAUACUGCUUGGCUAGAGGAUCGGAGGGGGUAACGGAAUUUAUGGUGUAGCAGUGAAAUGCGUAGAUAUCAUAAGGAACACCGGUGGCGAAGGCGGUUACCUGGAAGAUUCCUGACUCUGAAACACGAAAGCCAGGGGAGCAAACGGG